rnacentral:tRNA from 1 species
UGGGGCGUCGCCAAGCGGUAAGGCAGCGGUUUUUGGUGCCGCUAUUCGCAGGUUCGAUCCCUGCCGCCCCAA